rnacentral:rRNA from 1 species
AUUAGAGUUUGAUCCUGGCUCAGAUUGAACGCUGGCGGCAGGCCUAACACAUGCAAGUCGAGCGGUAGAGAGGAGCUUGCUUCUCUUGAGAGCGGCGGACGGGUGAGUAAUGCCUAGGAAUCUGCCUAGUGGUGGGGGAUAACGUUCGGAAACGGACGCUAAUACCGCAUACGUCCUACGGGAGAAAGCGGGGGACCUUCGGGCCUCGCGCCAUUAGAUGAGCCUAGGUCGGAUUAGCUAGUUGGUGAGGUAAUGGCUCACCAAGGCGACGAUCCGUAACUGGUCUGAGAGGAUGAUCAGUCACACUGGAACUGAGACACGGUCCAGACUCCUACGGGAGGCAGCAGUGGGGAAUAUUGGACAAUGGGCGAAAGCCUGAUCCAGCCAUGCCGC